rnacentral:rRNA from 1 species
AUUGAACGCUGGCGGCAUGCCUUACACAUGCAAGUCGAACGGUAACAGGUUAAGCUGACGAGUGGCGAACGGGUGAGUAAUGUAUCGGAACGUGCCCAGUCGUGGGGAUAACUGCUCGAAAGAGCAGCUAAUACCGCAUACGACCUGAGGGUGAAAGCGGGGGAUCGCAAGACCUCGCGCGAUUGGAGCGGCCGAUAUCAGAUUAGGUAGUUGGUGAGGUAAAGGCUCACCAAGCCGACGAUCUGUAGCUGGUCUGAGAGGACGACCAGCCACACUGGGACUGAGACACGGCCCAGACUCCUACGGGAGGCAGCAGUGGGGAAUUUUGGACAAUGGGCGCAAGCCUGAUCCAGCCAUGCCGCGUGCGGGAAGAAGGCCUUCGGGUUGUAAACCGCUUUUGUCAGGGAAGAAAAGGUUCUGGCUAAUACCUGGGACUCAUGACGGUACCUGAAGAAUAAGCACCGGCUAACUACGUG